GAUGAACGCUGGCGGCGUGCCUAACACAUGCAAGUCGAGCGAACAGACGAGGAGCUUGCUCCCCUGACGUUAGCGGCGGACGGGUGAGUAACACGUGGAUAACCUACCUAUAAGACUGGGAUAACUUCGGGAAACCGGAUCUAAUACCGGAUAAUAUAUUGAACCGCAUGGUUCAAUAGUGAAAGACGGUUUUGCUGUCACUAAUAGAUGGAUCCGCGCCGCAUUAGCUAGUUGGUAAGGUAACGGCUUACCAAGGCAACGAUGCGUAGCCGACCUGAGAGGGUGAUCGGCCACACUGGAACUGAGACACGGUCCAGACUCCUACGGGAGGCAGCAGUAGGGAAUCUUCCGCAAUGGGCGAAAGCCUGACGGAGCAACGCCGCGUGAGGGAUGAAGGUCUUCGGAUCGUAAAACUCUGUUGUUAGGGAAGAACAAAUGUGUAAGUAACUAUGCACGUCUUGACGGUACCUAAUGAGAAAGCCACGGCUAACUACGUG
rnacentral:rRNA from 1 species